AUAAAUAGAUGAUUUUUGGCUCAUAAGCCAAAAUCCAAAAUCAAAGUUAAGCCUAACCAAACACCUCCUCAUUGAAGGCUCAAACUAACAUCUCCACAGGACAGAUAACAACAUAUUCUGGUGAGACAUCGUAAUCAUCAUCAUCUGUGUUUCUGUUGGGUUCAUGACACUAAAUGUGCACAGCAACACAGAAUCCAAGUCAUCAACGGACAUGUGGCAACCGUGUAAUCUUACACUGACCGGAGAAACAAGAAUAACAUGACCUCGAGAGUCUUAGACAGCAUAGCUUAAAUCCGACACAACACAGAGAGUCCCGGCUACAAGAAUGGGUAACAACACCGAAAACAGCACCUAGCACCUGCCGCCUCAGACGUUCACUACCUAUCUUUCAGCUCUAGCUCGAACGUCCGCAGCUUCUCCUUUAUAGGCGAAAGGAACAAUUUCACAUCCUUGCAGAUCCGCGACUUGUCAUCCCAUUCGAGGGUAUCGGUGAACCUAACUUCUGCCUGAAAUCAGAAGGGAUUGUUUGAGACAACCAAUACCCAGUAAUUGAUUAUAAAUGGUACAGGCACUAUAGAGAACAGUAGUGGUUAUUUGUACCUCGAGGUCAUCAAGCUCACCAAAUGAAAACUCGG
rnacentral:lncRNA from 1 species